GCAGCAGCAGCAGCAGCAGAAGAAAUUGAAAAAUGAAUCGCAAAUCAAAGCAAUAGAGAAAAACCUAAAUUAAGAAUGAAGGAAAAAGAGGGAAGGCUAAGGUCAGGUCUCAAAAUACAAUGCGCGCCGUUGGAGACUUGGAGAAACCGCUCUCUUCUUCUUUCUUUAUUCACUCUUUGAUGAACAAAAAACAAGGCACAUUAAUACUCUCUCUCUCCCUCUCCU
rnacentral:misc_RNA from 1 species